rnacentral:rRNA from 1 species
UACGAAGGGGGCGAGCGUUGUUCGGAUUUACUGGGCGUAAAGGGCGCGCAGGCGGUCUUGAAAGUCAGGCGUGAAAGCCCCGGGCUUAACCUGGGAAUUGCGCUUGAUACUCUGAGACUGGAGUACGGGAGAGGAGAGUGGAAUUCCCAGUGUAGAGGUGAAAUUCGUAGAUAUUGGGAAGAACACCAGUGGCGAAGGCGGCUCUCUGGGACGGUACUGACGCUGAGACGCGAAAGCGUGGGGAGCAAACAGG